rnacentral:misc_RNA from 1 species
UCGUACAAUGGAGAUGCCCAGGGCUGUCGCUGACUUUCACAGGUCGUGCACGCCCAAAGGUGCUCUCUUAUGUCCAUCUCACCCCUUUGUGCAUCACCGCGUGUGCCCCCCUUUGCGGGGAGGGCUUGCGUUUUCACAUAAAACUCGAUACGGUGUAGAAUGUUUCUUUUGCGGUCACACGCAAUCAAUA